CGCUAACCGCUACAGCUAACUGCUACGCUAACCGCUACAGCUAACUGCUACAGCUAACCGCUACAGCUAACCGCUACAGCUAACUGCUACGCUAACCGCUACAGCUAACUGCUACGCUAACCGCUACAGCUAACUGCUACGCUAUACAUGGCUGCUAUGCUAACUGAUACGAACGAACUAAGUAAUCGUUCAGUCAGUGGAGAGGUUCCUGAAAAACACUUUAUGAACAGAUAAAAUCUGCUUUAGAGCAGGAAGAGGUCUGUAGGUCUGUACUGAGUCUGUAGGUCUGUAGGUCCUUUAGUGAAGAGGUCUGUAGGUCUGUACUGAGUCUGUAGGUCUGUAAGUCCUUUAGUGAAGAGGUCUGUAGGUCCUUUAGUGAAGAGGUCUGUAGGUCCUUUAGUGAAGAGGUCUGUAGGUCCUUUAGUGAAGAG